rnacentral:rRNA from 1 species
AUGGGCGCGAGGAGCACGGCGGGAGCGGGCAACCACGGCGGCGCCGCCACAGCACCUACGCCGUGGCCAGCGAGCUUCCCUUUCUCCACCAACCAGACGCCGCGGGAGCUCCCGCUCUUCCCGACCGGCGGAGGCCGGCAAGAAAGCGCGGACGACUUCCACGGCGGCGGCUACCAUCACCAGCCCAACAACUCGCAGUGGUGGGGAGCUGCCGCCGCCAGCAACACCAACGCCAUGGCCGUCCAUCACCAGCAUCAUCACCACCAGCUGCAGCAGCAGCAUUUGCAAGAACAGCAGCAGCCGCAGCACAGCUUUUACAACAGCAGCGGCAACCAGCAGCAGAUGAUGAUGAUGAUGCCCGUCCAGGACGCCGGCACCUCCCUGGAGCUCACUCUCCGUGCCCCUUACAUGUGA